CCAACGGCCCUCUUUAGGGCCACCUAUUACUAUUAAUUAUUAUUUGU
rfam:Strongyloides venezuelensis genome assembly, scaffold: SVE_contig0000001